rnacentral:rRNA from 1 species
GAUGAACGCUAGCUACAGGCUUAACACAUGCAAGUCGAGGGGUAGCAGGAAAGAAGCUUGCUUUUUUCGCUGACGACCGGCGCACGGGUGAGUAACACGUAUCCAAUCUGCCUAUUACUCGGGGAUAGCCUUUCGAAAGAAAGAUUAAUACUCGAUAGUAUAAGGAAAUCGCAUGGUUUUCUUAUUAAAGGAUUUCGGUAAUAGAUGAGGAUGCGUUUCAUUAGAUAGUAGGCGGGGUAACGGCCCACCUAGUCCACGAUGAAUAGGGGUUCUGAGAGGAAGGUCCCCCACACUGGUACUGAGACACGGACCAGACUCCUACGGGAGGCAGCAGUGAGGAAUAGUGGUCAAUGGGCGAGAGCCUGAACCAGCCAAGUAGCGUGAAGGAUGACUGCCCUAUGGGUUGUAAACUUCUUUUAUAUGGGAAUAAAAAGAGCCACGUGUGGUUUAUUGUAUGUACCAUUAUGAAUAAGCAUCGGCUAACUCCGUGCCAGCCGCCGCCGUAAAAC